rnacentral:tRNA from 2 species
GGAGCUUUAGCUCAGUUGGUUAGAGCAGCGGACUCAUAACCCGCCGGUCCUCGGUUCAAGCCCGAGAGGCUCCACUA